GACGAACGCUGGCGGCGUGCUUAACACAUGCAAGUCGAACGGAAAGACCUGCUUUCCCUUGUCGAUUGCGGGUACUCGGGUGGCGAACUGGUGAGUACCACGUGAUUUAUCUGCCCCCAACUUGGGUCUAAGCCUGGGAAACUGGAUCUAAUUCCCGAUCGUACUGCAGGAUGCUGCCUGUGGUGGAAACCGACUUUCUAGUGUGUGGGGAUGAGCUCGCUGCCUAUCAGCUUGUUGGUGGGGUAAUGGCCUACCAAGGCGGCGACGGGUAGCCUGCAUGAGAGCGUGGACAGUCACAUUGAGACUGAGACCCGGCCCAGACGGGUACGGGAGGUAGGAGUGGUGAGUAAUGGAGCGCGAGCGGAAGCCUGACGUAGCGACGGCGUGUGGAGGAUGACCGCGUUCGGGAUGUAAUCUCCUGUCGAAGGCAAGGAAGACACCUGGUCGGAAGGGUGGUGACGGUAGUGGAAGAAGAAGCACCGGCUAACUACGUG
rnacentral:rRNA from 1 species